rnacentral:rRNA from 1 species
AGGGCACCACCAGGAGUGGAGCCUGCGGCUUAAUUUGACUCAACACGGGAAAACUCACCCGGCCCGGACACUGGAAGGAUUGACAGAUUGAGAGCUCUUUCUUGAUUCAGUGGGUGGUGGUGCAUGGCCGUUCUUAGUUGGUGGAGUGAUUCGUCUGGUUAAUUCCGAUAACGAACGAGACUCUAGCCUACUAAAUAGAUCGUCGGCUUACAAACGCCGGCGAGACUUCUUAGAGGGACAGGCGGUGAUUCAACCGCACGAAACAGAGCAAUAACAGGUCUGUGAUGCCCUUAGAUGUCCGGGGCCGCACGCGCGCUACACUGAAGUGAUCAGCGUGCUUUUUCAACCUACUCUGUCAAGAGUGGGGAACCCAAUGAACCUUCUUCGUGAUUGGGAUAGGGGAUUGUAAUUAUUCCCCUUGAACGAGGAAUUCCCAGUAAGCGCGAGUCAUAAGCUCGCGUUGAUUACGUCCCUGCCCUUUGUACACACCGCCCGUCGCUACUACCGACUGAAUGUUUU